rnacentral:rRNA from 1 species
UAGGGAAUCUUCCGCAAUGGGCGAAAGCCUGACGGAGCAACGCCGCGUGAGUGAUGAAGGUCUUCGGAUCGUAAAACUCUGUUAUUAGGGAAGAACAAAUGUGUAAGUAACUAUGCACGUCUUGACGGUACCUAAUCAGAAAGCCACGGCUAACUACGUGCCAGCAGCCGCGGCAAUACGUAGGUGGCAAGCGUUAUCCGGAAUUAUUGGGCGUAAAGCGCGCGUAGGCGGUUUUUUAAGUCUGAUGUGAAAGCCCACGGCUCAACCGUGGGGGGUCAUUGGAAACUGGAAAACUUGAGUGCAGAAGAGGAAAGUGGAAUUCCAUGUGUAGCGGUGAAAUGCGCAGAGAUGUGGAGGAACGCCAGUGGCGAAGGCGACUUUCUGGUCUGUAACUGACGCUGAUGUGCGAAAGCGUGGGGAUCAAACAGG